rnacentral:rRNA from 1 species
GACGAACGUUGGCGGCGUGCUUAAUACAUGCAAGUCAACUGAAGCAGUGGUAGCAAUAUCGCUGUGGAGGUGGCGCACGGGUGAGUAACACGUAGGUAAUCUGCCUUCAGGUCUGGCAUAACUCCGGGAAACCGGGGCUAAUAGCAGAUGAUGCAGCGGCUCGACAUCGAGACAGUUGUUAAAGCUAUGGCGCCUGAAGAUGAGCCUGCGUCUGAUUAGCUAGUUGGCGGGGUAACGGCCCACCAAGGCAACGAUCAGUAGCUGGUCUGAGAGGAUGAUCAGCCACACUGGAACUGAGACGCGGUCCAGACUCCUACGGGAGGCAGCAGUAAGGAAUAUUGCUCAAUGGGAGAAAUCCUGAAGCAGCAACGCCGCGUGAGGGACGAAGGGCUUUUGCUUGUAAACCUCUGUAGUGAGAGAAAAAAAUCCCAAUCUUUGGGACAUGAUGGUAUCUCAAAAGUAAGCCCCGGCUAACUACGUG